rnacentral:rRNA from 1 species
GACGAACCGUCCAAACGUUAUUCGGAAUCACUGGGCUUAAAGGGUGCGUAGGCGGAGAGGCAAGUCAGAGGUGAAAGCCCACGGCUCAACCGUGGAAGUGCCCCUGAAACGGCCUCUCUCGAGGGAGAUAGGGGCGUGCGGAACUCAGAGUGGAGCGGUGAAAUGCGUAGAUAUUCUGAGGAAGACCGGUGGCGAAAGCGGCACGCUGGGUCUUUUCUGACGCUGAGUCACGAAAUCUAUGGGAGCAAACGGG